rnacentral:rRNA from 1 species
AACGAACGCUGGCGGCAGGCCUAACACAUGCAAGUCGAACGAGAAGCCACCUUCGGGUGGUGGACAGUGGCAGACGGGUGAGUAACGCGUGGGAACGUGCCUUUCGGUUCGGGAUAACCCAGGGAAACUUGGGCUAAUACCGGAUACGCCCUCCGGGGGAAAGAUUCAUUGCCGAAAGAUCGGCCCGCGUCGGAUUAGCUAGUUGGUGGGGUAAUGGCCUACCAAGGCGACGAUCCGUAGCUGGUCUGAGAGGAUGACCAGCCACAUUGGGACUGAGACACGGCCCAAACUCCUACGGGAGGCAGCAGUGGGGAAUCUUGCGCAAUGGGCGAAAGCCUGACGCAGCCAUGCCGCGUGGAUGAUGAAGGUCUUAGGAUUGUAAAAUCCUUUCACCGGUGAAGAUAAUGACUGUAGCCGGAGAAGAAGCCCCGGCUAACUUCGUGCCAGCCGCCGCCGUAACAC